CUGAAAUCCCCAGCGGUGCUGUUGCUGUGCAGUUGUUGACUGAGUUGGAUGUUAAUCCAGCUCCCCACUAGUUUGAAUGCGACCCUGUUUUCUCUUUCUUCUCCCAUCUUCUCCAAUGAAGGCAGAUCUCAGGCUCUCUGGGCACGUCUACACUGCGAUAGAAAACCUGCAGCACUGAAUCUCAGAGCCCAGUCGGAUGAGAACAAGGGGACCACCGCUCAUCUAGGAAAUCUGAGCCAAAUGCAAGUGUGACUUGAAAGGAAGACAAGUUUAGUCCCUUAUCCUGAACAGAGAGAGUGAUGUUGCUUUGCAUCAUCUGUGCCUCUCAGGGCUUGUCUACACCUACAGCACUGCAACGGCACACUGGAGCUGGGUCUGGAGAUCUUUGCCGGUGGUAGGGAGAAGGAUCAGACCUGAAAUCAGCUACAGCAAUCUAAUCAUGCCAUUUGAAAUGAGCAGAAAACUGGAACACAAUAUUUUGCCAAUGGAAACAGACUCUGGUCCAUCAAGACCAAUAUCUGGCCUUGGCAGUGAUCGGUAUUUGAGCCACCACCCUUGGCCCCUAAUAUAGAUAGCCAGUAAUGAAAUGCUGUACAUAGAUGCAAAGAAAUCCCUUCCUUGGCUGGGUGGUGGUCAGUUUAUGUCCUGAAGCAUGAGAAUUGAUUAGCCAUCUUUUAGCACUUGUAAGCACAAAUGUUAUUGGUCACACUCUCAGGAUAAACUCAUUAAGGGCCAAACUUGAAGUCAUUAGUUUCUACUCAGCCUUGAAUUAAGUGACUGAAUGACUACAAACACUAGGCCUUAUAUAGUCUACAUUUAAAAGGUUAACCUAGUGUAGAAUUGUUGUAGUCAUGUUGAUCCCAGGA